GACGGAGGGUGCAAGCGUUGUUCGGAAUCACUGGGCGUAAAGCGCGUGUAGGCGGUGCGGUAAGUCGGAUGUGAAAUCCCGAGGCUCAACCUCGGAACUGCGUUCGAGACUGCCGGGCUAGAGGACGGGAGAGGGAAGUGGAAUUCCUGGUGUAGAGGUGAAAUUCGUAGAUAUCAGGAGGAACACCGGUGGCGAAGGCGGCUUCCUGGACCGAUACUGACGCUGAGACGCGAAAGCGUGGGGAGCAAACAGG
rnacentral:rRNA from 1 species